rnacentral:rRNA from 1 species
CAAUAGCGUAUAUUAAAGUUGUUGCAGUUAGAACGCUCGUAGUCGGAUUUCGGGGCGGGCCGACCGGUCUGCCGAUGGGUACGCACUGGUCGGCGCGUCCUUCCUUCCGGAGACCGUGCCUACUCUUAACUGAGCGGGGGCGGGAGACGGAAUUUUUACUUUGAAAAAAUCAGAGUGUUUCAAGCAGGCAGCUCGCUCUUGCAUGAAUUAGCAUGGGAUAAUGAAAUAGGACUUUGGUGCUAUUUUGUUGGUUUCGAACACCGAAGUAAUGAUGAGAAGGGACAGUCAGGGGCACUCGUAUUCCGCCGAGAGAGGUGAAAUUCUCAGACCAGCGGAAGACGAACCACUGCGAAAGCAUUUGCCAGGGAUGUUUUCACUGA